rnacentral:rRNA from 1 species
UACGUAGGGUGCAAGCGUUGUCCGGAAUUAUUGGGCGUAAAGAGCUCGUAGGCGGUCUGUCGCGUCUGCUGUGAAAACUCAGGGCUUAACCCUGAGCUUGCAGUGGGUACGGGCAGACUAGAGUGCGGUAGGGGAGACUGGAAUUCCUGGUGUAGCGGUGAAAUGCGCAGAUAUCAGGAGGAACACCGGUGGCGAAGGCGGCAUCCUGGACCGGCAUUGACGCUGAGGCGCGAAAGCCAGGGGAGCAAACGGG